AUUACAAACAUGAGCCACCACGCCCGGCCCUCUGUUAAACUUUCUCGCAAGGGAAAAUCACAUGAGUUAUAUAUAAAGCACAUAAUAUAAAGCAGAUAUAGCUUUUCAAACUUACUGUAAGUGUUUAGAGCUAGAAUAAUGGCAAAUUUUAAAGGAAAAAAGAAUGUCAGUGAUAAGUUGACAAGCCUGGAAAUAAGUAAGAUGCUUCUUCUACCUGGCAUAAUAACAUAAAGAAUCUAGAGCCUGCUGGUAAUCAGUUAGAAAUGGAGAAGGAGAAAAAUAUUCAGUUUACAAUUCUGACAAAAACGACACAAUUCUCAGGAAUAAAUCUUGAAAGGUAUAGGAUCUAUAUGAAGCAGACUAAAUUCUUUCUGAAAGAUACAAAAUAGCAUCUACAUAAAUUGAGAGACAUGCCAUGUUUUAGAUGGGAAGAAGACUUAAUGUAAGAAAAACGUCUCUUUUUCCUAAAUAAAAAAGGUUAAUGAAUUUCAAUGUCUAGCUACAUCCAAAAAGUCUUUCAAAACUUGCGCAAAAUUAUUUUAGCACCAAGAAGAAGAUUAUACAUUUAAAAGUGACCAAUAAUUUUUUAAAAGAAGGGUUGAGAGAGCCUUGCUAUAUCAAUUAUUGAAACAUAAUUCUGAAUAGCAGCCAAAUUUUCUUGAAAAGGGGAUUUUUAAAAAAGGAGCCAAUCAGGCAAGCACCACUCCAAAGGAAGGAUGUGACAGUGUUUCUGUGGUUU
rnacentral:lncRNA from 1 species